UUCAUGGCUACCUCCAGGACUGAGUUGAAUCCAGAGGAACAAGAAUGGCAGCCUCAGCCCUUCAUAUGAUGAUGGCCAUAGGGCUGCUAACUUUGAUUCUUCCCUGUCAUGCUGGUGACAAGCCAUCCAACUCUGAUGAAAAUUCAGAUGAGGAUCUCCCAUCAAUCUUAAACUUCUUAGGCACUGGGAUAAUUGAUUCUGCAAUGGAAUAUAUUCUCAAGUCAAUGUUCCAGAAAAAUGGAAUGGAAUGGGAAGAAAAAUCAAAAAAGGAUGCAGAAUGACAGACCCUGAAUACCAGUCAAUUCCUGGACCAGAUUCAACCUUUCCAUUCUCCCAGACUCAUUGACUAUUCAGUCCAGAAUCACUAAGCUACUUGGCAUCUACUGCUCUAGUUCUUUGGUACAGCAAGAGGUUGGUGCUAUGUAAAUGGAUCGUUUUCUCUUUCUGAGCUGCUGGAAGACAAAAUAAAGUCCUCAUAGAAGGGACAUUCAAGCCUUUUCUGUGUUAAAACAUUUAUUUCAGAGGUCUAGUGUUCUUGGAAUCAAAAUGUCAGUGCAAAAUCUGUCCAGAGAUGAUAUCUAGCCAAUAGGACACAUGUUAAUAGCUAUAUUUUCUAAAAGCAGGAGGUAAAAGUUCCAAACCCUUCUAGAUUCAUCCUUUACUGGAGGAAAUGUUUCCAAAAUAGUCAAGAACCCUGCCCUGUUACCAUCAAGAGGAGUCCAGUGACCGUGACUGACUCUUGAUUUGAUAAAAUGACUCUUUUAUUUAGUAAUAUUAUCCCUUUUAAUUUAUAUUCUAGUGCUCAAGUCCUUUUUCCAUGGGAACAUUUUGUGAUUCUCUAACAUAAUCCUCUUCCUUAGAAAUAAUGGAUAAAAUGAGGAAAACCCAUUCCAUAUGACCUUGAUUAAUUUAGCUCUAAACCAAUUACACCUCAGCUUGGGGAGUCUAAAGGACUAGAGUAAGCAUGCAGAAAUAUAUAGUCACACUCAUUCUUUUUUUUUAACCUUUACCUUGUCUUAGAAUCUAUAUGAAUUAUCAGUUUCAAGGCAGGAGAGCUGUUAAGGGUUAGGCAAUUGGUAUUAAGUGAUCUUUCCAGGGUCACAUAGCUAUAAAGUGUCUGAAGCCACAUCUAAAUUCAUGAUCUCCCGUCUCUGAGCCUGGCAGUCUAUUCACUGAACUACCUAAUUGCCCCCCACACUCAUUCUUUUUUAUUUUUUUAAAAAUUUUUCCAUGGUUACAUGAUUUUUAUUGUCUCCCUCCCCUUCCUUCCCCACUCCCAGAAUUGACAAAAUUCCACUGGGUUAUAAGAAGGAUUCCAGGUAUGAACGAAUCAUGAAAGUAUUAAAGAUGUUUUCAAAAGCUGACUCUGAUGAGCAAGGUGUUCAUGGACCAGUGUUAUGAAUAUAUUUCUGAUAUUUCACAUGGAAUGAUUUCUAGGUCCUUGAAUUGAAUUGGGGCUCUAAUUUGGUGGAACUCAAACCUCUCCCUAUAUCUGCAGUCUGGAAGGCUGGCAUGCAAUUUCGAUAAUUUCUUUGCAAAGACACUCCCUCAGCAUUCGUAUGAGAGGGUGCCAGGGUUAGAGAAGAAGCAGGACUUCCAACUGACCUCCAGGUCUCGGAAUCAUCUAGGCCAGUAUGUUGGGUUCCUUUCUUUUGUCUUGUUGAUCGCUAAUAUGAUGGUAAUGUCUCUAUCACACCACCUGUUUGAUUGAUAAUCCCACAUCCCCCAUUCCUUGAAACCUCAAUAAAAUUCAGUUCACCUGUCUGACUCUAGACUCUGUCUCACCAUCAUAGGGAAGCUGACAAGCUGGACAUGAUACUGAAGUAUCCUGUGUCUCUGUGUCGAUUUUCUCACUUUAUGUCCUUCCUACCUUAAUUUUUAACCAUUCCACCCAUAUUCCCUCAAUCCCCAGCUUCCCUUUCAGGUGCUCAACCCACAC